UAUUUCAGUUACUUCAUGUAUACAUGCCUUAGUUAUAAAUGCAUAAUUACCAGAUAAAUUGUUGCAUUCUCAGUUUUCAUGUUCAGUUUUGAGCUAUCUAGCAAUCACUUGUACCCCUAUUUGAUAUUGAUACUAACUCCCACACCCCUAGACAAUCUUUUCCUAGCUUAAACCCUGUUGUUUUUGUUCAAUUGUGAUAAUUAAUUUCAAAAUUACUUUCUUUUAAUUUGGUGGAAUGAUCUACCCAUUUGUCAUAAUUGCUAGAAUGAAUUAGUUUGCAUCUUUAAUUUCCUCAUUGAAUUCUCCAAUUUAGAUCACUCCCUUUGAGAUUCGACCCUGACUCAAUUAUUGAGUAUUUAUAUUGCUAACGAUCACUUAUUUACUUAAUUGUUUCUUGAGGAAUUUGACUUUUAUCAGUCACUCUAAAUUGAGCAAUUUGAUUAACUUUUCAAAAUAAAAAAAAUAAUAUAAUUAAUGUUGCUCUCAGUUGAGAGAGAUUUUCAGAACUUUUAAUUUUGAAGUUUCUCCAAAAGUAAAUCUAAAUACAUCAUAUAGAUAAAUACCCUAAGGAAAAACUAUUUUAUAAUCGAAUGAAAAAACAUGUCAAGAAAAAUGCAACCACUAUCGAUACAAACUCGUGCAUUUAAUCGAUUCUUGAUGAUGGAAAGUAAUGAAUAUCUAGUGUCCUCAUCUUUUAGCUGCCCUAUUAAUCUUCUAAGCAUCCAAAGUCCCCUCAAAAUAAUAUUUGCGAUGUGUGUACUAAUUUGUAUUUUCGGAACAAGUUACUCAUAAUAGGUAGGAUAGGAAAUGGAUUCAAAAUAAACUUGUUGCUGCGGGCUUCACAUAGCGGCAGACUGAUUUUACAAGAAGCCAUACUACCCCAUUUUUUCCUGUCGCUAUAGACUCCAAUUUAUUUUUCUCAGCAUCAAUUUUUCUAUACAUACUUGGUCCUCAACCUUUGAACUCAAUCUUGAUUAAAUUUCAUAGAUUUCUUCUCAGACAUCAAAAUAUUUGUUUUAGCACCAAAACUGCUCUUUUUAUCAAAAUCAUAUCCUACACAAUAAAACACAUGUAAUAUACUCUCUCUAUAUUUUAAUAACUUAAUCCGUCCGCUAAAAGUUUUUUUUUAAUUGUUUGUUUUUCUUUAAUAACUUUUUGUAUCAUGGUGUGAAAUUUUUCUACUUGUAUGAUUAUUGACCUCAGUAGAUUUCAGUUUUAGCGAGAUAUUCCUUUUAAGUUUUACAAUAGGAUUGACUAUUUUGUAAUUAUAUAUAUUUCUGUGACUAAACUUUGAUUGCUACGUCAAAAGGUAGAGUUUUAAGCCACAAAUGUCUCAUUAAUCUACUUGACCUUCAAAAAUAUCUUAGCAUCUUUAAUUCCCAAUUUUAAAUCCAAUUGGCUGUGUUGGUUGGUUUUGUCGUGUGUUUUUUCGUAGUCAUUAUUGGUUUUAUGUCCUUUAUAUUUGUUUAACAAAGACGGGGGAGUAAAUAUGCAUAUCAUUAUAUUUAAAAUAUUAAAAUGAAUAUAUCUUUUAAAUGCGGGUGAAUUUUGACUAAAAAUCUUGAAAAGGGACCAUCCUAGUAAUUGUUUCAAUUAUAAAACACUAAGGAACCGUUCAUUUGCCUCAUUCAUCUCCUCAUUCAUCAGUGCCUUUUGGCACAUCUAUCAUGGAAGAAAAGGAAAAUCUCCCUUCCCAAAUAAAUCAGUUUGUUAAUGAAACUCUUGAUUUAUUUGGAAAACAAGUAGGACCCGUUUUCUCUAGCUUUUUAGGGAUCUACCAAGGAGUUUCAUUACUUGCUCGUAGAUUGGCUCAGGUCAUUGUCACCUUGAUACUAUUGAAGUAGCUUAUUUCCAAUUCAGAAUCCAAGUACUUGGUGCAACUGGAUGAAGAUACGACAAGUAAUAAUGCUGAAUAUUCGGGCUUGUUCUGCCUCUUUUAUAUCAACAUUUCACUACAAUGACCAAAUGUUCUACUGAGCAAAUUGUUUCUACUUAAUUGAUAUGUUUUUUUGUAAAAAUAUUUCAUCGUAGAAGUCAACGUUCUUUUGCCGUAGAUUGGAGUUCAUUAUGUAUUUGGAUUAGAAAAUGUAAAAUAUUGAUAGAAAUUACAUGGAGUCUGAUUUGCUAAAAAAAAUAUCGUUAUCUUUUUAUGUGCUUGCUGGAUUUUAUGAUGAACAUAAAAUUGUCAUUUUUUAAUGUGUUUAA